rnacentral:lncRNA from 1 species
GAGAAUAGUUGAACACCUACAGGAAAUAAAACCUGCAUCAGAGCUGCUUGAAGGCAAACAGUAUUCCCUUUCCCAGCAGCCUGACUGAAGAAUCUUAAUUUUACAGACAGUAGAGCACACAAGGUAAUGUUUUCAAUUCUUAAUCAAAUACAAUUUUUCUUCAAGAAACUGCUUUUGUGUGGGAGUUUCAGCCAGAACCUGAGCAGCACUGAAAUACUACAAGCCAUUUGUGUUACCACCCUGUUUAAUUUGCUUACAAACUUUAGAUGACUGUAGAAACAAAAUAACACUUUAGGAGCCAGGGUAGCUGUGAUGGAUGUGUAAGCCCUGUAAUAGCUCUCUGGCAAAGAAAUGAGUAGGGAUAGUCUUCAUAUCAGAUCUCACAUUAAGCUAUAUUCAUAUCCUUUCAGAGAUGAAAAAAACAGGAAUUAAACAUAAAUGCCAAUAAUUAGAUGAGUCUUGUAGCUAGGCACCUGCAAGAUGGGUAUUUAGACAUGCUUGAUUAAUGGGGAAAAAAAUAAAAAGUCCAUUAGCUAAGGAAUAUCAGUCACUGCAUUUUCUCUUAAGAACUGAAGGCUUUAUGCAAUUAAACCCAUUUAAUAUGGUGUUUUUUAGGUAGUGUUUAAAUUUCAUGUCUUCUACUAGUUAGUCUCACAUGUUAUAUUGCUUUACCAAGGUGAGAGAAUGGUUCAAAAUCAGUCUUAUCUCUGUCAUGUCCAAGCUAGGGUUACAAAAAUAAUUCACACUUCUUUCUAUUUUAUGUAUUCAGUGCAAUGAAGUCAUGCAAUGGAUUCAGUUUGGCUGGGUGAAAAAAAAUCCCAUAUUUGCAUUGCUGUAGUCCUUCACCAUUCACAUUUGAUCUGUCUGGCAUUUGAUACGAGUCAUGGACAACCUGCCUCAAGCUGCUACAAUGUCUACAGAAGAGAGAUCAUCCAAGAUAGUAAAUUAUGUGUAAUUACUUCUCCAAGAGCUGAAUUUGUGCUUCAGAAUGCAAGAAAGGCUCACAGGUUGAAGGUUUAUUUCAGGAGCUAAGAAAAUGCCAGACUUCUGGAAACCUGUUCUGAGAAGGUGAGUACACAUUUGCAUGACUGGAACGAUAUCUUUUGCUUCUGUCUUUGGUAUGAGGGCACAUUCUUUUUGUUGCUAUUAAUGUGAUUAAUCCAUGAGGCUCUCUCUAUAUUCUUACUGGUUAAAUCUGCUGGUCAUGGGUACAUCUCAAAUUUAAGCUCUUUUGCCAGCAUCCAAGAAGACUUUGUAUGUGUGGAUUCCCUUCUCUUGAUUAAAUAGUGUUAUUUCAAAA